GGUCUUGUAGCUCAAUUGGUUAGAGCGUCGGUUGAGGGUUCAAGCCCCUCCGAGACCA
rnacentral:tRNA from 1 species